rnacentral:rRNA from 1 species
UGCCAGCCGCCGCGGUAAUACGGAGGGGGUUAGCGUUGUUCGGAAUUACUGGGCGUAAAGCGCACGUAGGCGGAUUAGUAAGUUAGGGGUGAAAUCCCGGGGCUCAACCCCGGAACUGCCUCUAAUACUGCUAGUCUUGAGUUCGAGAGAGGUGAGUGGAAUUCCGAGUGUAGAGGUGAAAUUCGUAGAUAUUCGGAGGAACACCAGUGGCGAAGGCGGCUCACUGGCUCGAUACUGACGCUACGGCGCGAAAGCCUGGACAACAAAUGGGCUUACUGA